rnacentral:lncRNA from 1 species
AAUUCAGUAAUGUGGGAUGGUCUAGUUAGCAGUUCCGACGAAGCAGAGUACGUUAUGUGUCAAAAUAUGCUGAUGUCGAUGCCACGCGGAAGGCCACACAAUCGAUUCGCGUACCCAGCAAUCCGACAGCCCAGGUUCGAUCACUCAAACGUGAACGGCUUGGAUUUGUUCUCUCUUUAACCGCGAUCGGACAGACGAGAUCAAUUAUAAUGAACGACUCAGAUUCGCCCACAUAAUUGGCCUAAAUAGACAAAGAUCGGACGACUCUUUUCGC